GGUACGUCUGCAGGCAGCCCCGAAGCGGAUUAUUGCUGAGGCUGCGCUGUGUCGUAAUCCCGUCUGGAUGGAACGCUUCGGAGGCCGUCGGCAGGUCGGAACAUCUCCGCACGCUCCGGUGCCGCGCUGCCAUCGUCGGUAUUAACAAAUGCCUGCCGUAGUUGUUGUGGUUUUCUGGUGUGACGGCCGAUGGGGUCAGCCCCUGCUCCGUGGUCCCGCUCGGUGGAGAUGGAGGUGGUGUGAGCAACGUGCCCGCAGCGUAGCGCAAAGGAAGGGAAACGUGGGGAGAAAGUGGGUUGGAACCCAUCACCCUCCCCUCUCGUGGGAGUUCUGCUGCGUGACAGUGCUGAGAUCGCCUUACUGCUUCGUGUUCCUUUCUUCUGCCCUCUAGUUGUACUGUGCCAAAGGUAGGCUGUCCUUACACCUGUCUCCUUCUCAAAGCAGAAGGGGAAAAUAAAGAGAAAUAUUGCUCUCAGCAGUCGUCCGGAGGUGGGUUUGGUUCCUAAUUCCAGCUCUGUUUGAGCCGUGAAAGCUUACACUGCUCAGUAACUGUGUCAGUGAGGGUACAGUGUCAGGAGAGAAGGCUUAAGGUAACGUUGCUGCUGAGAAGGGCAGCCCUGUGCACCUCCUUCCCAUCCUCCCGUUACCUCCUUUCAUUGCCUCUGGGUGUGGGUGCCUGCGUGGCUGGCUGGCUCCCUGCUGGCAGCGCUCAGCGCUGGAUGGAAGCACAGUGAGCAGAGGCUGUGUGUAAGAGGGAGCGGCAGGCCCGCCCAGCUGGGCACUGCUCGGAUUCCAGGCUUUACAGCAGCUUCUGAAAGCGUGCCCGAGGCUGCGGUUCCUUGGACAGAGGUCUAAAAGGUGUUUGAUAAACUGCUUUGAGAAGAGGAGAAUUCCUCCGGAACUGAUGAGAUUAGAUGCGUUCCUCGGCGAUGUGACACAUCUCAGUCUUGAGUGCUUUGCUGUGGGCAGCCCAGCAUGUGACACCAAGCACUGUAUACAAGAGAACUCAUUUCUCCAGCUAAGAGGCUUUGUCAGUGGGAGGCAUCUCAGACUUUCCUGUUUGCCCCAUGGAUGUAUAUAGAAUAGGAGCUCCAGGUAAUCAGGAGAAAAAAAUCCACCAUCAAAGAACUAACUACAGCUGAAAAGCCCUGCUGAUGUGUGGUGCUUCAGGUGAAGGAAUUUCUGCAUGCUGCAGUGGUAAUAUGUUUUGAGUUACUUAUAAAAUAGCUGAUUCCUUGCAUAUGUUUUUUUGUAACUCUGCUUGUUUUGUUUUUUUUUUUUGCUUGCCAGAAGAAACAUUUUGCUUUAGCUGCAGCAUUGUGCUUUUAAGUCCUGCCUUUCUACUUAUUCAUUUUGAAACCUCUCCCUAGAUGUGAUGGACAGGAGUUGCCUCCGGCACAGUCUGUGGCUAUUCCUCAACGUGCACUUGUAGAGAUGUCUGUGAAGAGCUCCAGGAGUAAAAGGCAGAUCAGGUUUUCUGCAUUUUCUGUUCUCUUGUACCUCUCUGUGAACUUGCUGUCAGGAUGUGGUUCAUCUCAGGUGUGUUUGUACCAAAUUCUUGGUUUCAGAGGUGCACGGGCGCUUAGCGUAACUGAGAUCAGGAUUUAGAUUGAGCUCCAGAUGGUGAUCAGAGGAUUACUUGGAGAGCUGAUUAUGAGAGUUCUUUGUAUAAGUCCCAUGCCUAACUGAAUAGUUACAUCACAAAGAUUUCUCUUUAAUGAGUCAUCAGACAAUUUAGUGGGGGAAAAAAAACAACCACCACCACCUUCUAAGCUUUCCCAUGAAGCUGUUUUUCCUUAGCCCAUCUGGUUCCUAUUGAGCUGUACCCCAGCACUUGCAGGCUGCUUUAAUAGGUAUUCAUUUUCUGACUCUGAGGAUGACGUCUAUGAUAUCUCUUAUGUCUGAAUAUCUUCUUCUCUGCAUGUGUGGCCUGCGUUUGUCCUUGUGUUCAUCUACCAAGUGUGAGUGUACUGCUGUGGUGUGAGCAGUGAACAAAGACCGUUGUCCAUGGUGUGUUCCAAAGUACAAUCCGCUGCAUUUGUGUGUGCUAUUUUUGGAGUUUUCUUAGCAGAGAAGGUGGUCAGCCAGUCUGACUUCAGAGCCAAGUUAAGGGGAAAGUAGCAGUGCAAGCAGCAAGUGGGUGAGAAAACGUUCUUUUUACUCCUUUUGUCUUGCCAGGAAACAUCUUGUUCUCUUCUUCAGAUUUGUGAACUGCGCCUACUCUUCUCUUAGCUCAACAGAUUUGCCCAUCAGCUUGCAGAUAAAGGCCAAUGCUCCUGGCAUCUGCAGCUCUGGAUCUCUGUGCUGGCACGACUCGUCAGGCUGCAUUGUCACUGUCUUGUUUGGUGCCUGGUACCGUGGCUGCCACAGCUCUGGCCUUUGCUCUGUGACUCUGCUGUGUUAGCUUAGUACUAACAGCAGUGAUGUUCCCUCAGUUACCAAUGCCUGUCUCUGGACUGCUUGAGUGUUUCCUGAAGAGCGGUUUCUCACCGGUGCAGUGUACCCAGCUCUGUUGCUGGCCUCUGAUCCACCAGGAGGUUAAAUACUGCUGCAAUUGUAGUGGUGUUGGGCUCCCAUGCUGGUGGUGCCAAGGACCACAGCAGCCUGAUUUCCUUAGCAUCGUUUUUCUUUCUGCCUAUUUGCCUUACAACUACCAGACUUUCUUUGUGGUAUUGCUCAUUGUCAGAGUGAGAAUGUUUAAAAGUUUUUUUUUUAGUCAUGGGGCUGCUUGGGAGGAUUCUUUUCAUCCCUUCCUAAGCAAAGGUUAACAUAGCAGCUGGAUGACUAAGAGCGCUUUGACCUUCCUGAUUCACUUACAAAUGUAGUACUUCUUUAAUGGGUUAUUGUACUUGAGGAAUGCAAAUGACCCGUAGUUUCGAUGUACCUGCCUGUCUGUAAGGGGGGGAAGUAGUGCUGCUGGGUAACUGAUUUGUUGUGUUUUUGUGAUGACGGACUCCUCCUGCAGCCUGCUCAUCACGAGACUCUUUGGAGGUAUCGGCUGCAAGCUAGAUUAUUUUUAUGCUCAAUCAUCCAUUGUUUUCUCCUGGGGACAGGAACUGCUGGGGAGGAAUAAUGGAAACUGUUUGAUGGGAGUGGUUUAAUACAGUUGUGGUUGGGAGCUCAGUGGGGUGACUGAGUAGACAGUCAGCUGCAGGGUUUUGUACAUCUGAUCCCAAACAGGCUGCUGCUGCUGCUUGUGGUUCUGCAAAGCGCAAGCGUUGUGUUACACCAGAUUCCCUCCUGGCCAACAAAUCCUUGGGGUCUUCUGCCAGUUUUGUGGGAGACCUUUUGGUUACAGCACCAAAAAACAGGUUAAAUUUUGGAUUCAUGUGUUGGAUUGCCUAGGCUGAGUGCUAAAUAGUUCUUAACCCUUAAACCAGCGUGCUCCAGUAAGAGACUGUCCUUGUUGCUGUUAGUAGGAAACCUGCCCAGCCAAAAGGCUAAUUUCCCCUUUUAGUGUUCAGUGAGUUCAGUGCUUUUGUCAGAGGUGACGAUAAUUCGUACUCCUUAUUUUUUCCUGUUAAGUCAUGCUUUGUCCUAAUUGCUCCUUAAGAUUUCAUUACGGUCUUUUUCAGAAACUUUGCAUCUCCAAGGCUUAAGUGAUUUACCACACCUGUGCGUUGAGAGAAGACUUUUUUUUUGUUUAAUUAGGGAUUUAAAUCUUCCAGAUACUCUUAGAAGCCACUACUGAGAGCAAGACUAUUGCCAGAGCUGCUUGGAGGUGCACUAGAGGCUUCCAUGAGCUUGUUUAUGCUUUGUGGUAUGAGUAUGCCCCUUUGCCCCCUGGGCCAGAUCAAAUGAUGCUGAGAGUUUUAAUGAAGAACUCUUCCAAGUCUGAUAUCACUCGGAACGAACCUCUGUGUUCUUGGGGUAGUUACUCACCAAGCACUGAGACUUUGCAGAGUCAUCCAGGAAUGAAACUGCACUUUGUGGAGCUGUACUGGGGUUACCAUCUGCGCAGAGGACUCUGGUGCUUGUUUCUGGAUAGCUGCAAAUGAGUAGCUCCAAGCAGGGUUUUGUGCGUGUGUUGUGUGCUCUCGGGGUUCCCUGGUGGUACAGAAGUGCUGCUUCUAAGUGGUUGGCAUUCUUUAGUCUAUCUUGUCUGUCUUGACACACCACUCUCCUUCUCUUCCAACUCCAGCAGGAAGGUGAGAAGGACUGAGAGCUGGGUAUAUAUACCAAACCUGCCUACCUGUGAGCCUGCAGAGAUAUGUGGGACUUGUACAGCAUCUGUGGCCAAAGGGGGUUAAAGCUCUUGGGAAGGUUGCAUCUCCAGCAGUCUAGUGUAGCAGCACGUGCUAAGCUGGAGUUGCUGGGAAGUAGCUGUCUUUUCCUAGGCUUCCUGGCUGCUGGGAACCUUGUGAAUGUGACCUGAGUAAACUAGAACAGAUGGAGGGUUUCGCUGCCUUGGCUAGCACUGCGACCCUUUCAUGGACACUGCAAAAGGGCAGCCUACAUAAUAGCGAUAACAGGAGCUGCAGGACACGCUGUGUUGAAUUUUAUCUGCCUAAAUAGCUGCUAGUCCAAUUCCAUUAAUGCUUGCAUAUUUAAUAAACUUUUAAUGUUGGAUUUUAAUGAGUUGGCAGUUAUCUCUGAACAUCCAGCUGCAGCUCUCACCCAGUCUAGGAGGCUCUUGGAUGCGGAUAUCUCUCACUUAGAAGUCAUGCGGCCUCUCCUUGGGCAGUCAGCGCUUGGCAGGCUGUAGCGUGCUUUGAUGUAGGUUGUGCUGAUGUGCAGGAACGCUGAACUUCAUAAUGUGGUUGGUGCCCUAGAGGGAGGCUUUUCAGGGGAGGAAUCUUAAAAGUCUCAAUGUAAGAGAACGUGACCUUGGUUAAUCUCCUGGUGAACCAUUUAUGGAAUUGGGAUGAUUCUUGCUAGCAUUUGAAUUAUUUUGGUUGCAAAAUGGGCCCGUUAUGGAAUAUGUUUCUAAAGUGGUGUUCGCCUGUUUACAAUCUGAAUGUUUUGACUUUGUGUUUUCAGGCUCAUUUUCCAAACCUACAUCAAAGUCUCAAAACCCCAAACGGGUGAAGUGCUCUUCUUGUGUUGCACAAUUGGCAUUAAGCGUCCCUAAUGAGGCCAUGGAAUCUAAUCUAUUAUUGAGGAAACCUUGGUGGAAUUAAGUUUGAUGGUAGUACUUGGGAGAUAAACCCAAGCAUAGUGAAUAAAUGUCACAGAAUCACAGUUGUAGGGGUUGGAAGGGACCUCUGCAGCUCCAAACAUCCAUGCAGCCCUCCGCUGGGCUCUCCCCGGAACUUCCCUGUCUGGUGCUGGGAGCCCAGAACUGGGCACAGUGCUCCAGCUGUGGCCUCACCAGGGCAGAGCACUGAGGAAGAACCUCCCUAAGCCCACUGGGCAUGCUCUGUGCUAUGCACCCUGGGGUCCCAUAGGCCUUCUUGGCCACAGGGGCACACUGCUGGCUUGGGGUCACCCUGCUGUCCACCAGGACACCCAGGUCCUUCUCUGCAGAGAAGCUACAUAAAACAAGUUGCCCAAGGAGGCUUUGGAUGCCCCGUCCCUGGAGGCAUUCAAGGCCAGGCUGGAUGUGGCUCUGGGCAGCCUGGUCUGGCAGUUGGUGACCCUGCACAUAGCAGGGGGAUUGAAACUGGAUGAGUACUGUGGUUCUGUUCAACCCAGGCCAUUCUAUGAUUCUAUGAAAAUGCAGCAGGCAAGGUGAAAAGGGACCAUCAAUAGUACAGUGUAAUUCUCAGCUCUGGCACCAGUGUGACUUUAAAGUCACUUAUCCAUUCAUAACCUUCAGGGUAAAUUCUCAAUAUGCUACUGUAAAGCAGAUAGUAAAUGUGUAAACUCUGAUGGUUACAGGGGUAAGGCAAGGAGUCCUUGCUGCUUCCUUUGAGAUAAGUCAGCAAAGUUGUUCAGUAACUGGACCUAUCAGGUUGGUUUCAGAUGACCUUUCAGUGUGUUAGGCAAAAAGCAGGAAAAAUGUAUUGUUUGUGUAAUGUAGUGUCAUUUUCUGUGCGUGUGCUGUAUUUUAAAUUGAGAUUCUUUUUAUAUCUUCAG
rnacentral:lncRNA from 1 species